ACAGUCACACAUUAGAUACCCCCUGUAGUCCCAGCCGUAAACUAUGCGCGUUAGGUGUAUCGGUGACCACGAGUUACCGAGGUGCCGAAGGGAAACCGUGAAACGUGCCGCCUGGGAAGUACGGUCGCAAGGCUGAAACUUAAAGGAAUUGGCGGGGAGCACCACAACAGGUGGAGCCUGCGGUUUAAUUGGACUCAACGCCGGGAAGCUCACCGGAUAGGACAGCAGAAUGAUUGCCGGGCUGAAGACCCUGCAUGACUAGCUG
rnacentral:rRNA from 1 species